AUGUCUGACAAAAUUUUGGCAGAUGCAUUAUCUGAACACUCCCUGCCAAAACCUCUGCUGUGAGCAAUGCAAAACCUGGCCAGCCUUGAGAAGGGUUGGCCAAGUUCCAACCCUUGUAAUAACCCACAUGUUCUACCUACUGUGCCAUUUGGACUGCUCCCAAAUGCAACAUCAUCUGCCAAGAGCAAUGUAUGCCUCUGUGCCUCCCAGCGGACUGCCUCCAGGAAUCAGGACAUCGUUUUCUUCCUCUAUAUUUGCAUGCCCUGCAUCCUGUGGUCCCUAUUAAGCUCCAACUGUGCCAUGCCCCACAAGACCAUAUUCUACAUCAUAUAUGUCCCUUCCAAAGGUACCUAGACUACAGGGUGAACCCACAGAUCGAGCUCUAGCUGCUCUUUAGGUCCAUAGGGAUCCAUGUCUUAUGAAUCUUGACUACCAGGAAUGGGAGGGCAUUAUCUCACCCCUAAUAUGCCAUAUCCCUCUCCAGGGCCACAUCCUGUUCCUCCUCCUACCCAAGCACCAGGGCCAGCACCACCUGUUUCACAGGAUACUGUUUUGCCAGGAGCCUGUAGAUUACCCUCACCAUAUUCUGACCAUGCAGAAGCAUAUCCUACACCAGGACUCUAUCUUAUUCCCAAUAAUCUUUUCCAAGUGCCCCCAGGACCUUCUAGAUCUCCACCGAUGCCUGGUGGCCCUCAUUCUUACUAUUAG
rnacentral:lncRNA from 1 species